UUAUAGCUUCUUAUUUUCUUUAGUAAUUUCUUGUUAAGUUGUUAGUUUUUUUUUUAAUUUUUUUAUGUUGACAAUAAGACUUUGAUUUUCUUAAUGACCCAGUUCUUUCCAAGGUGGAUGUUGUGUGAACGAGGUGGCUCUUUCCAACGAUGGAUAGCAUGACAAACUUCUUAAGGGAUUGAGUCAGUUUUCUAUAUGUUUUUGUGUAAAUAGUAGUAAUGAAUAACAAUGUCUCAGGCAAACUUCACUU
rnacentral:lncRNA from 1 species